rnacentral:rRNA from 1 species
GUCCACGCCGUAAACGUUGGGCGCUAGGUGUGGGACUCAUUCCACGAGUUCCGUGCCGCAGCUAACGCAUUAAGCGCCCCGCCUGGGGGAGUACGGCCGCAAGGCUAAAAACUCAAAGGAAUUGACGGGGGCCCGCACAAGCGGCGGAGCAUGUUGCUUAAUUCGAUGCAACGCGAAGAACCUUACCUAGGCUUGACAUGCACGGAAAUCUCCCAGAGAUGGGAGGUCCGUAAGGGCCGUGCACAGGUGGUGCAUGGUUGUCGU